CGAUGGUACUUGGGGCGCAGGCCCCUGGGAGAGUAGGACGUUGCCAGGC
rnacentral:rRNA from 1 species